rnacentral:rRNA from 1 species
GAUGAACGCUAGCGGCAGGCUUAACACAUGCAAGUCGAGGGGUAGAAGGAGCUUGCUCCUUUGAGACCGGCGCACGGGUGCGUAACGCGUAUGCAAUCUACCUUGUACAGGGGGAUAGCCCAGAGAAAUUUGGAUUAAUACCCCAUAGUGUAAUGAAUAGGCAUCUAUUUAUUACUAAAGUUCCAACGGUACAAGAUGAGCAUGCGUCCCAUUAGCUAGUUGGUGUGGUAACGGCAUACCAAGGCAACGAUGGGUAGGGGUCCUGAGAGGGAGAUCCCCCACACUGGUACUGAGACACGGACCGGACUCCUACGGGAGGCAGCAGUGAGGAAUAUUGGUCAAUGGGCGCAAGCCUGAACCAGCCAUGCCGCGUGCAGGAUGACGGUCCUAUGGAUUGUAAACUGCUUUUGUACAGGAAGAAACACUCCCUCGUGAGGGAGCUUGACGGUACUGUAAGAAUAAGGAUCGGCUAACUCCGUGCCAGCCGCCGCAGUAACAC